rnacentral:lncRNA from 1 species
AGGUGUAAAAAUAUAUAAUCUUGGUUUAAAUAAAAAAUUUCAUGUGUAUUGGAGAGCUUGCAUUUGAAAUCUUCUCAAAUAAUGUGCAUCCAAAAGCACCUAUAUGAAAAUCACAGCUUUAGUUGUACCCUUUCUCUGAAAAAACCCUAACUCUCUCUCAGAAAAAAAUCGUAACUUUGCAAAAGCUUUAGCUGCCGGUCCCUUGCUUGGGCUUGGGCCAUCGGUAGCCUCUCUCCCCCUUCCUUCUAGCGCCUCUUCUCUUCCCCUUUACUCCCCAUCUUGUUCCCCUUUGUUUCUAGUUCUUGUGUUGAGAAGCAUCUCUUCUUCCCUACCACUCUGUGGGCAACCAAUCUUCUCGACGUUGUUGCAGCCUCCCGUCCCCAAUUUCCGUGAUCUUCUACUUUAUUGGCAAGAUUUGCGGGUUUGGGUGAAUUGUGGUUGUUUGUGAGUCGGAUCCCCUUUUUUGGUUUGUUUUUCAGAGCUUCAUGACUCCUCUUGACGAAUUUGUGGCAGCUCCGCCUACCUUAUCCCGAUCAAUGGCGGCUGAUGGUUAUAUGGCAGAUGUUGGGGUCUUGGAUUGAGGUGUUCUGGCUACGUUUGGAUUUGGGUCGCUUUCUUGCUUUGUCGAAGAGAGAUUUUGAAUUUGUGUGUCGUUCUCGAGGAAAGCCAUUGUGGUUGGGUCGCUCUCUCGCUUUAUUGUAGAGAGCAUCUGUGGUUGUGGUUGUUGUUUAGUGUUUGUUGUUUAUUGUUUAGGAUUUGGUUUGGUUGUUUGUACCUGGCAAAGGACUAUGUCAACUUCUCCACGUUGUCUCAUAGCAUAGCAGGGCUUCUUUGCUGAAAUGGCAGGAUACAAAAAAUAAAUAAAAAUUAUGCAACGAAAAUAUUCAUCACGCAAGAAAAAGCGGGAAAUUUUUUUUUUUGCAGCCAAAUGUUUGCGCGACGAAUAUUUCCAUAUAUUCAUUGCGCAAAGUUUCAUUGAAAAUGGUCAGAUGCC